CCGGCACAAGCGGUGGAGUAUGUGGCUUAUUCGAUGCAACGCGAAGAACCUUACCUGGGCUUGACAUGCGUUGUAACCCUUGCGAAACAGGGUAGCGUAGCAAUACGCGCUUCGCUCAGGUGCUGCAUGGCUGUCGUCAGCUCGUGCGUGAGAUGUUGGGUUAAGUCCCGCAACGAGCGCAACCCUCGUGGUUUGUUGCCACUGGGAAAACCAAGCACUCAAACAAGACUGCCCAGAUAAACUGGGAGGAAGGUGGGGAUGACGCAAGUCCGUAUGGCCCUUACGCCCAGGGCUGCACACGUACUACAAUGUCCAAUACAAAGGCACCAAAUCCGCAAGGCCAAGGAAAUCACCAAAAUUGGACUCAGUUCAGAUUGCAGGCGCAAUUCGCCUGCAUGAAGCUGGAAUCGCUAGUAACGGCACAUCAGCUACGGUGCCGUGAUACGUUCCCGGGUCUUGUACACACCGCCCGUCACAUCAUGGAAGGCGCCGUUCGCCUGAGGGCGCGCCAGAAACCGCAAGGAUCGGCCGCACAAAGGCAAAGCUAGUAACUAGGAUG
rnacentral:rRNA from 1 species